AAAGAGACUAAUUAAAUCUAUGGGGACUGAUUAUGAUAAUUAGUUAUAUUUAUAUGUGGUGGGCUUAUGAUCCAUGUUGGACCAAGUUUAUGUAUGGAUACAUAAAAAGUUGGGCCACAUGAACCGUGGAUCAUAAAACCCAUGGGUAUGGAUUAUGGGUUAUACCCAUGACCCUUGGAAUCCUACAUAUAAAUAGGUUACUCCAUAGCCAAAAUCACCACUUCUUUUCUUAGAGAAAUAUGGAGGUGUUUUGGUGCAUGGAAUUCUCUCUCAAGAGCCACCUUUGUCCUAGGUGUGUUGUGAUUCCAUUUGAGGCAUUUCAUACUAUUGGUGCUAAGCUCUUAAGGCCAAAUACAUCAAGACUUCAAGCCACAUAAAAGGUAUGUUUCCCUAACUAGUAUAUUAUAUGGUUUAUGUCAAAUGCAUGCUAGUUAUAGGUUUAAUGCCUUGGAAACCAUUUGCAUGUAUAAUUAGUGAAAACAUAGAUCCAAGGUAUUUAGGGUUGUAUGUGCACCAUAGGAUGUUGUAUUAUACCAAAACCCAACAGUUGUAUCAGAGCCAAGGCUUGUUUUCAUGUUAUACUUGUUGAAAUGGCUGAAAAAUCGAAAAUUUUGGUUGUCUGGGCACUGGACUCGCCGAGUCCAUGAAGAAACUCAUCCGGGCACUGGACUCGCCGAGUCCAUGAAGAAAUUCAUCCAACUCGUCGAGUUGGUUCAUGCACUCGACAAGUUGGACCCCCUGACAACAUAUUUUCGACUUUUAAGGCUGGAAUUGGACUAGAAACAUUACCCUAAGCUGCUUUUGGUCUUGUAAACAUGUUUUUGAUGUGAUAAUGUUCAUACUAAUCCAAUUUCAAAGAUAAUUGUUAAUAGAUUCAUGUUUUGUAUUAGUUUAAGGUUCAGGCUAAUUACUUGAAAAAGUUUUAUUGAAUUAUCUUGCUCUUAUGAGUUUCUUAGAUUAAUAGGAAUGUUAUGUGAAAUUGUUGUUUUCAAUCCAAAUUAAUCUAAGAGUUGAUUCUAAAAUGUGUUUUUGUAACUUGUCCUCAAGUUAUAUGAAAAGUCACAUUUAAGUUUCAUAAAACUCAUAAAAGUUGGCAAAGGUUACAAAAAGAAGAGUCUAGUUCUAAUUAAAUGGUUUUAUGACUCCAUAACUUGUCCUCAAGUUAUGGAGGACCAAGAGUCUCUUCAUUAAAUAAUAAAUUAAAAAAAAAGUGUAACCUUAAUUAAUUCCAUAAGUUAUAAAAUAAAGAAAAGUUAAUUCUUUUAUUAGUUUAAAGUCUUCCAUAACUUGUCCUCAAGUUAUGGAACUUGAAGAGUUUUUGGAUUAAAACUACUUUAAACACAUAAGUUAUGGAAUUAAUUAGUUUUGAAUAGUUUCAAAACUUGCCCUCAAGUUUUGGAAUUUGUAAAGUUUUCUCUUAUGAAUACUUUAAUUCCAAGUUAGCCCUUAGAAUUUUAAAAGUUAAAAUUCAACCCUUAUACUUUAUAAUAUUAUAAGUUAAUAAUAUAUAUAUGUAUAAGAGUAAAGUCAGUCUUACCGCUAGUACGCCUCAUUCACGAAGCCGGUCUAUAAGGUGGGUAUAAGGUUGUUGCCUAUAAAAUGGCAACUUAAUGGGUGUCCACUCUCACCCACCGCUUGCUUGACUGGUGGAGGGUCGUUAGCCGAACGGGUUUGACAGGACUAGAAUUCUCCCUUCAUUAAAAGUAUUAAUGAUAAUACUAAGUAACUAAACUCUUAAUAAUACCCAAUCUUAGUUACUUAGGAAAAUGUGAAUAAGGUGCUAAUCCAUGAAAUUACACUUUGCACUUUGUUUAAGUCGGUUAGUGGAGCGUGUGUGGUUAACCGGCACACUAACUCGUAUUUAACAAGGUAGGCAAAGGGUAACUUAAUGUUUAUCAUAGUAUCGAUGGAGCGUGUGUGGUUAACCGGCACAUCGAUUGAGGGGUAAACACUUAAGGGUACCAAGUAAUUUGCAUGGUUACUUCACACCUUGUUUUGUGAUCCUCGGCAUCCCAGUCACAAAACCUGAAGGGCACACUCGAGAUUGAAACAUGCCAUUGAAAAGUUCAAUGAAUCUCAAAAGAUCUAGGAGUUUCAAAUCCAAUUAAAACCUAAUAAAUUAUUUCGUUUUUCAUGGUGGAAAUUGGUGAAUCGUCAUUCACCUACCUUCAAAUAUUCUAUAGCUUGGAUUACGACAUCCCUCUUCCAAGUUAUAAAAUAGUUUGUUGGGUCCUAGCCUUAAUAUUUCAUAUUGGGUGUUAUAUUAAGGACUUUAAAUCAACUAUCUUGAAUAUCUCCCAAAAGAUGUCUAGUUCAGACAUCUAUGAUCUUCCCAAAUAUCUUGGAACUUCACUUCCUCCACCUCCUCCAAUUAUUCUCCCUAACCCACAAGUUCAAGGUCACUCAAGCCCUAUUGGCAAGGCAAGGUCUAGGUGUGAUCACAUCUUGGAGAUGAAGUCACAUACUGACAAGCCGGGAGAGUUGGGUGUCAAAGUCUUAAGAAAGUUAGUGGUUUAAUCACUUUCUAAGUCACAUAGUGAGUUCCUUGGGACUCCUAUGAAACAGACUAUGACAAGACCCUUAAUGAUCUUAUCUAUUUGCUUGGUGCUGCUAAAUCAGAAAUGAUUUAGUGUACUAGUAAAGCAAAUUUGAUUAGGAGAUCAACUUCCCAAAACUUUAUGGACAUGGACAAUAGUGACAUAGGAAAUCAAGUAAAGCAUUCUCUUCCCAAUGGUAAAGAGAAAGGCUAAGUCUGAGAUAGUCCCAUGUACUAUUACCUAAGGGUCCAUAUGGUCCUAUUUCCAAAAGGAAAGGGCAUUGGUUGCGAAGCUGUCAAUUUUACCUGAAAGAUCAUAAGGCUAGUAAAGUCAAUAAGUUUGACUCUAUUUCAGGUAAGGUCCACUAUCUAACUCGGUUAAGUUUCUAUUCUGAGAUUCUUAUUACAAGAUGUGACUGGGUCACAUGUUGAUGUUUAAGAAUCAAAGGAAAAGUGAAGGAAACUUAAAGAAAGAGUAUGUUGAAUCUGAUCGCGAAGAUGGAUUUCUAUCGCUUGAUUGAAGAUUGGAUUAUUGAGCUACUCUUAGGAGUUAUGAUAGAUUGCUAGGAAACAAGUAAUAACAUAGUUUCAUUUCAAGCUACAUUGUAAGGAAAAAGUUUUUUCCGCAUUUUAAAAUAAAUAAAAGAUUGUUUUACUUUAUUUUUUAUCUCCUUACAAUGGCAUUCAUGAAAACUUGAUGUUUGUAUGUUUAUAGGAAUAUUGGAAAUAUGAAUUUGAUUCGUUUAUUUGUAGUAGUGUCUAAAUUUACCAAAUAAGGAAGAUUUUCAUCACCCAAGUUUCAAUUGGACCGAAACAUGGAAUCAUGCAAGUUGUAUAGUAUGAUGAAUGAGAACUUUCGAGCAUUGGAAAAAUUAAGACUAACUACUUGUUCACAUGGAUGUGUGAGUCAAGAGAAGGACUAAGGGAUCAAGUACACUUUCUUGUGCACUUGUCAAAGUCCACCACAAAAGAUGGAUAAGACUAUUCGUCAUGAUUUACUAAGGUUUAGUAAAUAUGAUUAUACUUACAAGCUUAAGUAUAAUUCUGAAACAUUGAAAAAUUUUCAAUGUAUGACAGAACGAAUAAGAAGAAUCAAAUUAGGCAGAAGGAUAAAAGUUUCUCAAAUCUGAAAAGAUGGGAGAGUACUUUAGUAUCAUGUUUUAAGGUCAUCUUAAUGAUUUUGAGACCUUAUCACAAUUCAUCCUCUAAGUACAUUCUGAUAGUUAAGAAGAGGAGUUAUGAAUUGUUGAAGUGGUUAAAUCAAGAAGAUGAUUCAUACUUCAUUCCAAAACAAUUCAUAGAGUUAUACUCUAAGAUUGUAACUUGAGUGACAUGUCUUAAAGAAGGUUUAAAACACUUGUCAAAUGUAAGAGUAAAAGUUUUCUACUCUUGUACAUUUGAAAUUGGUAAGUUGUGAUGUUUUGGAUAAAACAAAGACCAACUAAGGCUAAUUGUGUUAAGUGUCUGUCUUGAUUAGAAUCCACACUAUCUCUUGAAUAUUUGGCAAGAAAGUCGUAUAGGUCAAGGAGACAGUGGGAGUCUAAAAGAUCCUGAAAAAGGUUUCAAGAAGUAAUCAAGAAUAAAACCUGUAUUUCAUCGCUAGCACACAAGUAGAGGUUUAUAACCUAUCGUGCUGACAUUUCUGUGCCCAUUCCAGUUAAGUUGGCUAUACAUUUGAGUUCUACAUGUUCUCAAUUGUUUGCAUAACUACUUGGAAGCAAUGGCAGGCCCUUGAGCUGCCAGGUGGCAAGAAGUUAAGAUUGCACAAGUUCAAUCCAUAUGAGUUUGGAUUUGUCAUUAUCCUUGUCUUGUGACUAUGGUUUUGACAAUUCACAUGGAUAAGAACACAUACACCAUUAAAUCUAAGUGUCAUAAGGUUUCUCUUCGAUUAAUGAAAAUGAUGGUAAUGAAACUCUUUCACUAAGUAGAUUUUGAGUAGAUAGUAAUUGUGGAAUGACAAAAGGUCUAAACAUUAUGAUUACGACAUGCCUCUUCAUAAUUGUUUAGACACACAUGUGAGCUACUAAGAGAGGUGUAUGAUAUUGAUAAAGUCUUAUCAAGGCAAUCUAGUAUCAGAAAUCUGAACUUUGGUAAGAAAGUCAAUAAAGUAUUGAUUUCUAGAAGUUCAGUUGAUUUCUGGGUACAUGUCAAAGCUAGUGGGAGCAUAAGUGUUAUGCUAAUAAUCAUCAUGUUAGUGGGAGCAUGAUAAUUAUGAUAAGUAUUGCAAGUUAGCAAUGUUAAUUAUAGAAAACAAAAGUUUCAAUUCGUGAGGUUGCAGGGGUUGAAAAAGUUGUUUUGCUAUAAUUAAGGGAGAUGAAAUUAUACUUCAUCUCAAAUCUAAAAGCUUAGAUUGAGGUCUUAAUCGUAUUUAGUCAAGAAUAUAUAUGAAUUUCAUGUUGGGAUGGCUCAACAUAAGGAAAUUCUAUAUAUGGGUUCAUUAUUUGCGUUCUAAAAUUCGAUUAUGAUUACGACAUCCCUUUUCAUAAUCUGAAUUAUGAGAACUUGGCAAAUAGAAAUGGAAAUAUUAUAGCAAAAGACUGGUUUAGUCUUUAUGUGAGACAUCAUGAAUCGUGUCCCAUAUGCUUCGGAUAUAGGAUCGAUUACAUGUGCUAUAUUCAUCCGUUCUAAAAUUUUCCAAAUGCCUGGGGCAUUAAGAAGGGAAAAGGUUUAGAACUGGAUAUGACUAAAAGGAUUAAACAAUUGUCGAGGACAAUCUAAGGUUUACCAAAGAUUGGUUGCUCAAGGACAGUUGGAAGUAUAGUGAUAAUUCUGGAAGGACCAUAUUGACAUAAUCUGUAAGGAGGCAACUCUUGUUCAGAAGUGAUAGUCAAAAUGGAAUCUGGAAAUGUUUCAAAGUUAGAAUUUUCAAUCUGUUUAAGAUUAGGAAACUUAAUGCAAGAAGGAUGUUUCCAAGGAGCUGAUCUCCUUUGGAAUACUCUGUAAUGAUUGUUGUCAAGUCUUUCUGACUUUGUGCAUAAUCAUUACAAGAGGAUCAAUGCAUAUAAGUUUAGAAUCUAACAGAUUUCAGUAAAUGGCAUGAAUUUGGAAUUCUUGCAUUUGCAGUAAGGAUUUGGGAGUGUGAAAAGAGAAUCAUUGAAGUUAUGUUCAAUUGAUCUAGUUCACAAAGUAAAGAUCAUAGACAAACAUAGUAUGCAUACUUGGUGUGUGGCAUGACUAGUGUUUAAGAAAACAUAGUGUACAUGCUUGGAGCAUGGGACAACUAUUGUUUUAAAUUCAAGAAUAAAGUUGAUAGCUGAAACAGUAUACAAUGAAUAAUGUGUAAUCAUAUGGUGAUAAAUAAAAGGUGUUUUAUUUAUGUUCAAAGAUUUGAUACCAUAUUGGAUUCAAUUAUUAUUGUGUUUCACUUUGCAUGUUUUGACUUCCCGAAUAAACUAGGUUAUUCUUCCGGAAUGACUAAGUUAUUCAAACCAUCCACAGUCGGUCAUAUGUUGGAAGUAGAUAUGAAUUAAGACUGUCAUGGGUUGGCUUGUAGAGGUCUAAGGUGUUGGACAAAGGGCUACAACACUCAUGAGUGCUCAUAAGUUCUGAGUAUUGGAUUCAACCCGCGCUCAUUGGAAUCACUUCAUGGAUUUUAUCACGAGUGAUCAUGAGACGAUAAUAUCUUAUAUUCUUCAAACCUAGAGAUAUGAGUUGUUACUAUGAGUUGGUUGUACAUUGAUUGCACGAAAACGCAUUUGGUAACUCGAUGCUAUAAAACGUGCCUUUGUGUAUGAUUCAACAAGUAGUAGAACAAGCCAUAUGAGUCGAAGUUUAUCCAUUCCUUUUACCUUCGGGAUAAAAGCGAUAUCUGUGGGCCCCUCGAUGAUUUGAUGAUGACAAAUGGAAGUGCUCGGCCGGGCCAGGACUGAUUUGAUUUGUUCAAUUAGUCAGUCGUCAUAAAUCGGAAAUCGGGAAACAACAAAUGGACAGAGAGAAUGAUUAUAAUCCAUGUCUCAGUCCAUAUGAUAUCUAGAAUGGAGGAAUAUAUGAUCCCUUAUCUAAUGGACGCGUCAUUGAUUUGUUCAGAGUUCGACAGCGGCUUUAAGAGCUACGAUUGCUAGUCGGGUUAUGAAGUCGUACUUGCAAUAAUAGUUUUAGACUUAUCCAAGUGGGAGACUGUUGGAUUAGGUGUCUAAGCCCAUAACUAUUAUUGGUAUGUAUUCGACCCGAGAGUAGCAUGGUCCAUUUGGGUUGCAUAUCAUCAGGACAAUUUGUUAGGAUGGACUUUUGAGAGAAGGUUAUUUAUGGUUUAUUAAUAUAUUAUAAGUAAUAAUAUAUUAAUAUGAAAUCAUAUGUUUUAAUUAGUAUUGAUCAAGAAUUAAUUUGGAAUUAAAUUAGUGAUCAAAAGAGACUAAUUAAAUCUAUGGGGACUAAUUAUGAUAAUUAGUUAUAUUUAUAUGUGUUGGGCUUAUGAUCCAUGUUGGACCAAGUUUAUGUAUGGAUACAUAAAGAGUUGGGCCACAUGAACCAUGGAUCAUAAAACCCAUGGGUAUGGAUUAUGGGUUAUACCCAUGACCCUUGGAAUCCUACAUAUAAAUAGGUUACUCCAUAGCCAAAAUCAUCACUUCUUUUCUUAGAGAAAUAUGGAGGUGUUUUGGUGCAUGGAAUUCUCUCUCAAGAGCUACCUUUGUCCUAGGUGUGUUGUGAUUCCAUUUGAGGCAUUUCAUACUAUUGGUGCUAAGCUCUUAAGGCCAAAUACAUCAAGACUUCAAGCCAUAUAAAAGGUAUGUUUCCCUAACUAGUAUAUUAUAUGGUUUAUGUCA
rnacentral:lncRNA from 1 species